UUGAGUUGGUUGUAGCCAAUCUAUUUUGGUGUUGUAUGCAGGCUUCAUUUAUCUGACUGUAGUUUUGGUCACAUGCUCAGUCAGCUCACAAAUACUUGAAAGCUAAAACACAAUUUUUAAUUUAUAACUGUUUCACAAUUCUCAACUGUCCAAUACUUUUUAAUUUCCUUGUUUUUUUUUAUUUCUUUUUGUCUGCAUUUGUGUAUUUAUUAUGUAAAUGUGUUGAAAUGUAAUUUUUUUGAAGGCAUCGGUAUGUCUUGCUGCUCUUGCUUCUAACUAAUACAGUUUUUAAGUAUUACUUAGAAAAUGUUAGCAAACCAAUUUCUUCUUAAUACAGUUGAAUUUUGAAUGAUUACAAACCAGGACUAAAAUCUGUACUUUCACUUGUUUUUGCAAUCAGUAGCAACAAAAUUUCACCCUAGUUUCCCUUCAAUAAUGUGAGCAGGCAUGUAGCUCCUCUACAGCAAAAAUCCUGUUCUGCUCUGGAACCUUCUCAUACUUAACUGCUCAUUCCUUAGCAUAAAAGUCACCUCCCUCUCUAUUGUUGAAAGGGAUCUUAGUCUUGUAGGUUGUAUGGUAACCUCAAUAAUGUUCAUGCCAUGAAAAAAGGUACCUGGUAUAUGAUGUAAAUUGGCUGGCAUUAGGAAGGGCAUCCAGCCAUAAAAACCAUGCUAGAGUGGACACUGGAGCACAAUGUGGUCCUCAGAUCCGUUGGAGUAUGUCAAACUGUCCGACCCAUGCCAGAAUGGAAAAUGGACAUCAAAUUGUGAUAAUAAUGAUCUCAUAAGUACAAUUAUUGUGAGACCUGCACAGCUUGUUUACAAUGUAAUAAAAUGCUGUCUUGUUGCUGUAAUCAGGAGCUAAUUAAAUAUAGAUCUCAGAAAUAAUUUUGGCUCUCAUGUUUUGUUUUCUUUUGUUUUGUUGAGGCAUUAAUACCUUAACUUUGCACCAAUAUUGGAAACAUUUAUUUAGCUAUUUUAUGGAAUUUUAUAUGUCAUAGUGAUGAUGACCUUUGAUGUGGUUGAACAACCAGCCCCAACCAGUUGGGAUUUACAGUGUGGAUUGUAUUAUUCUUCCUUUUGAUCACUGAAUACAAAACGUGGCACAUGAGAUCCGUGUUUGAGUGAUGUUGCUGAGCCACCGUCUCAGCAUUGUAUGCUAAUCUGUCGCAAUAUUACCCAUUUACAGCUGAGUAGACUGGUGCAACAUGAAACUGUGUUUUGCUCAAAAACACAACACACAGCUGGUCUAGGAAUCGAAACUACCAUCUCACAAUCACAAGUGCAACACCCAACACUAGAUCACAUGCCUUAAAUGUCAUAAAAGAUUGUUAUUUUUCAAACUUCCUGGGACAGACAUAAUUUUUUUUUUCUGUAUGAUUAGGAAAUACCAUAAGAACAUUUGUGAAAUGUAAAUUAUUUCCUCAGCUGUGUAAGUUUUAUGUGAAAUCUCAUCACUCGUAGUUUUAUGUGUGUCAAGUGAAGGAGAGAGAGAGAGAGAGUAUGUGUGUGUGUGUAUGUGUUAUAGUUCAUCUGUUAAGUACAACAGAUCUUAUUCGUUAAAGCUGUUGCAUACACUAUGCAUUCUUUACAGUAAUUGUCCUUUGAUUUAGAUCUUACUUUAUUUUCACGCAAUGGAAACUCCUUUGCUUUAUGCAAAUAUUGGAUAGUCUGUUAAAAAAUCACAAUUAGUUUUCUUUUGUUUCUUUGACUAUGUAUCUUUUUGUUUUUGUGAAAGCUGUAUAAAUCUGCCCAAAGAUUGUAGUUCUAGUAGUAGUAGUAAUAGUCUUUUUACUUUUUUCUAAGUAAUGUUGUUAUUGAAAUGUUGGUAACACUUCUUUCGAUUAUGCCAGAGUUUGAAAUGCUUAAUAAAAUGCACUGAUGAAAAUAUUUGUUCAUUUGUCUGCGCUAGUAUACAUAUAUAUAUAUGUCUGUGUGUGUUAACUACUAAGUCUGCUUCUCUCUGUUAUGUUCUGUUUUAACUACUAGAAAUGAAACCGUUCCAUGUUUUUAUGUUACUUAGCUUUGUUGUCUUUUAACAUUUCCAAAAUUGCUUUAAACUGUUUACCUCUACAGGAUUUCUGUAUCAAAAUUACACAACAUUCUAAGACAAACAAAAUAUGUUGCUCUUGCUUUUACCUCUAGCUAACUAAUAUCAAACUGAUAUAAUUUCUAUCACCUCUGAACUACAUUGUUUCAGGUGCAGUCCCACCACUGUGUGACAUGUUGGGCAAGUGUGUUCAACUAUAGACCUGGGCUGACCAAAACUUUUAGAGAAUUUUGCUUAGUAGAAACAGAAAGAAACUCAUUUCCUGUGUAUGUGUUUCUUUGUCUUGACAUUUACACAAUAAUUGUAAAUGAUCAUCACCCUCAUACAAUGGUGUCCUUUGUUCUCAAUCUUCUGUGGAAGCAUGUCUGUCCAUGGAGAAAUAUUGACUUGCUUAGAAACAAGUGAGGGUUGUUAACCAGAAAGACAUCCGGCUGUAGAAAAUCUACCUCAACAAAUUCGAUCUGACCCAUACUAGCAUAGAAAAGUGGAUGUAAAAACGAUGAUGAUGAUUGAAUUCUUGGCUGACAUAGUGACUCUAUGCAAAUUUUAUAUCACAUCAUCCACCCAGUUCAUAAAAAGAUAACAAGUUGCCUUUAAUGAACUAGUGGGCAUAAUCUAUCUCAUGUUUAAGUCAGGAACAAUGUCUCAGUCUGGGGAGAAAAGAAACUUCUUAAAUGUAGAAAGACCAUUCCCACCACCACUUAGAAACAUUGACCCUUAAUUUGUUAACUAUAAGUAGCUGUUUGACAUUGAUGAUGAAUGAGGUCGAACCUACUUCCAUUUACAAAGUGGAGAACUUGAUGAAGACUAAAGGUGAAAUCAUUAGAUACAUGAGUAUAGAAUUCUUUAGCUGAUCUCGAUAUUAACUCCAGAUUUGUGUGUCAUUAUAUUAGAUUACACUUCAGAUUAUUUAUACCAAAGUUUCUAAAAUUCCAUCCAUGUGAUACACUUUGAUCUAAUAGUGUUUGAUAGCAUUUUACAUAAUUAUGUUUGAUAGCAUUUUAAAUAAUUAUGUAAAUUGUUAUCUAAUUAUAUAUAUAUAAAGCAAACACAAAUAAUUUUUAAAAAGCCCACAAAAGUACAAGAGACAUUCACAGUUAAUGUUAUUAAGGUGACAUUUGUCAAGAGUGUAAGUUAUAAUAUUUCAGACAUCGUCCGUCUCCAGACAGUAGAGGAAAGUCCAGGAGAGAGGAGGAAAAUAAAAAAAAAAGAUAAAAACGAGAUAAAAAAAGGAUGAGAGCCUGGACAAAA
rnacentral:lncRNA from 1 species